rnacentral:rRNA from 1 species
UACGGAGGGGACUAGCGUUGUUCGGAAUUACUGGGCGUAAAGCGCACGUAGGCGGAUUUGUAAGUCAGGGGUGAAAUCCCGGGGCUCAACCUCGGAACUGCCUUUGAUACUGCAAAUCUCGAGUCCGGAAGAGGUGAGUGGAAUUCCUAGUGUAGAGGUGAAAUUCGUAGAUAUUAGGAAGAACACCAGUGGCGAAGGCGGCCACCUGGACAACAACUGACACUGAGGCACGAAAGCGUGGGGAGCGAACAGG